UACGUAGGGCGCAAGCGUUGUCCGGAAUUAUUGGGCGUAAAGAGCUCGUAGGCGGCCUGUUGCGUCCGCUGUGAAAUCCCGGGGCUCAACCCCGGGCCUGCAGUGGAUACGGGCUGGCUAGAGGCAGGCAGGGGGAGAACGGAAUUCCUGGUGUAGCGGUGAAAUGCGCAGAUAUCAGGAGGAGCACCGGUGGCGAAGGCGGUUCUCUGGGCCUGUACUGACGCUGAGGAGCGAAAGCGUGGGGAGCGAACAGG
rnacentral:rRNA from 1 species